GAUAAAGUGACCGAUUAAAGUGUAGGGCUGUAAACCUUAAUAAGGAGUUUUUCCCUUUAUCA
rnacentral:tRNA from 1 species